CGAAUGCUGACAUAAGUAACGAUAAAGCGGGUGAAAAGCCCGCUCGCCGGAAGACCAAGGGUUCCUGUCCAACGUUAAUCGGGGCAGGGUGAGUCGACCCCUAAGGCGAGGCCGAAAGGCGUAGUCGAUGGGAAACAGGUUAAUAUUCCUGUACUUGGUGUUACUGCGAAGGGGGGACGGAGAAGGCUAUGUUGGCCGGGCGACGGUUGUCCCGGUUUAAGCGUGUAGGCUGGUUUUCCAGGCAAAUCCGGAAAAUCAAGGCUGAGGCGUGAUGACGAGGCACUACGGUGCUGAAGCAACAAAUGCCCUGCUUCCAGGAAAAGCCUCUAAGCAUCAGGUAACAUCAAAUCGUACCCCAAACCGACACAGGUGGUCAGGUAGAGAAUACCAAGGCGCUUGAGAGAACUCGGGUGAAGGAACUAGGCAAAAUGGUGCCGUAACUUCGGGAGAAGGCACGCUGAUAUGUAGGUGAAGCGACUUGCUCGUGGAGCUGAAAUCAGUCGAAGAUACCAGCUGGCUGCAACUGUUUAUUAAAAACACAGCACUGUGCAAACACGAAAGUGGACGUAUACGGUGUGACGCCUGCCCGGUGCCGGAAGGUUAAUUGAUGGGGUCAGCGCAAGCGAAGCUCUUGAUCGAAGCCCCGGUAAACGGCGGCCGUAACUAUAACGGUCCUAAGGUAGCGAAAUUCCUUGUCGGGUAAGUUCCGACCUGCACGAAUGGCGUAAUGAUGGCCAGGCUGUCUCCACCCGAGACUCAGUGAAAUUGAACUCGCUGUGAAGAUGCAGUGUACCCGCGGCAAGACGGAAAGACCCCGUGAACCUUUACUAUAGCUUGACACUGAACAUUGAGCCUUGAUGUGUAGGAUAGGUGGGAGGCUUUGAAGUGUGGACGCCAGUCUGCAUGGAGCCGACCUUGAAAUACCACCCUUUAAUGUUUGAUGUUCUAACGUGGACCCGUGAUCCGGGUUGCGGACAGUGUCUGGUGGGUAGUUUGACUGGGGCGGUCUCCUCCUAAAGAGUAACGGAGGAGCACGAAGGUUGGCUAAUCCUGGUCGGACAUCAGGAGGUUAGUGCAAUGGCAUAAGCCAGCUUGACUGCGAGCGUGACGGCGCGAGCAGGUGCGAAAGCAGGUCAUAGUGAUCCGGUGGUUCUGAAUGGAAGGGCCAUCGCUCAACGGAUAAAAGGUACUCCGGGGAUAACAGGCUGAUACCGCCCAAGAGUUCAUAUCGACGGCGGUGUUUGGCACCUCGAUGUCGGCUCAUCACAUCCUGGGGCUGAAGUAGGUCCCAAGGGUAUGGCUGUUCGCCAUUUAAAGUGGUACGCGAGCUGGGUUUAGAACGUCGUGAGACAGUUCGGUCCCUAUCUGCCGUGGGCGCUGGAGAACUGAGGGGGGCUGCUCCUAGUACGAGAGGACCGGAGUGGACGCAUCACUGGUGUUCGGGUUGUCAUGCCAAUGGCACUGCCCGGUAGCUAAAUGCGGAAGAGAUAAGUGCUGAAAGCAUCUAAGCACGAAACUUGCC
rnacentral:rRNA from 1 species